rnacentral:rRNA from 1 species
UGUCUCCUCUCUCUAAUCAGUGAAACUGAUCUCCCCGUGAAGAAGCGGGGAUAAAACCAUAAGACGAGAAGACCCCAUGGAGCUUUAAACCUCAAAGCAACUCUGACACAUAAUUCACCAUAAUCAACAGGGCUAUGCAAGCCGGUUUUAGGUUGGGGCGACCGCGGAGUAAAAAUUAACCUCCACAACGAAAAGAACUAAAUCUUUAUCUAAGAGCUACUCCUCUAAGAAUUAGUAAACUAACGAAAAAUGACCCGAUUAUCGAUCAACGGACCAAGUUACCCUGGGGAUAACAGCGCAAUCUACUUCGAGAGCCCAUAUCGACAAGUAGGCUUACGACCUCGAUGUUGGAUCAGGGUAUCCCAGUGGUGCAGCCGCUACUAAAGGUUCGUUUGUUCAACGAUUAAAACCCUACGUGAU